CACAUUGUCACCAUGCUGCCGCUGCUUUUGUCACCGCAGUGUCACCAGCAUGUCGUGACAUUGUCACCACAGUGCCACCACCUUGUCACCAUGUUGUCACCACUGUGUCGCGACAUUGUCACCAUCCUGCCACCAUCAUGCCACUUUGUCACCAUGUUGUCACUGCUGUGUCGCGACAUUGUCACCAUCCUGUCACCAUCAUGCCACCUUGUCACCAUGUUGUCACCAUCCUGUCGCGACAUUGUCACCACAGUGUCACCACGUUGUCACUGUCACGUUGUCACACUGCCACCAUGUUGUCACCAUUGUGUCGUGACAUUGUCACCACGUCGUCCCCGUCACAGUGUCACACUGUCACCAACAUGUCACCACGCUGCCACCAUCCUGUCGCGACAUUGUCCCCAACUCGUCCCCAUGUUGUCACCAUCGCGUCGCCAUCUUGUCUCAGAACUGUCCCCAACUUGUCACCAUGCUGUCACGACAUUGUCGCCACCUUGUCACCGUGUUGUCACGACAUUGUCGCCACCUUGUCACCAUGCUGCCGCCAUCUUGUCUCAAAGUUGUCCCCAACUUGUCACCGUUGUGUCACCACUCUGUCCCCAACUUGUCCCCAUCUUGUCACCAAUUUGUCACCACACUGUCACCAUCUUGCCACGAUGCUGCCACCAUCUUGUCUCAAAGUUGUCCCCAACUUGUCCCCACCUUGUCCCCAACUUGUCACCAUAUUGUCACGACAUUCUCCCCAUCUUGUCACCACAUUGUCCCCAACUUGUCACCAUGUUGUCACCACGUUGUCCCCAUCUUGCCACCAUCUUGUCCCCAUCUUGUCACCACGUUGCCUCCAUCUUGUCUCAAAGUUGUCCCCAACUUGUCCCCACGUUGUCCCCAACUUGUCACCGCGUUGCCGCCAUCUUGUCUCAGAUCUGUCCCCAACUUGUCCCCACGUUGUCCCCAAGUUGUCACCGCGUUGCCGCCACCACAGCUCCACGUUGUCCCCAACUUGUCACCUCCUCUUCUCACCGCAUCCCGGUGUCACCGCCGUUGUCACCAUCGUUGUCACCACGUUGUUGUCACCAUGUUGUCACCUCGUUGUUGUCACCAUCGUGUCACCUCGUUGUUGUCACCGCGCUGUCAGCCAGGGGUUGGGGUGGACACGGGGACACAGGGGAGGGGGGACAUGGGGACA
rnacentral:lncRNA from 1 species